UACGUAGGGGGCAAGCGUUGUCCGGAAUUAUUGGGCGUAAAGAGCGUGUAGGCGGUCCGGUAAGUCAGCUGUGAAAGUCAAGGGCUCAACCCUUGAAAGCCGGUUGAUACUGUCGAGCUAGAGUCCGGAAGAGGCGAGUGGAAUUCCCGGUGUAGCGGUGAAAUGCGCAGAUAUCAGGAGGAACACCGAUGGCGAAGGCAGUUCUCUGGGCCGUAACUGACGCUGAGGAGCGAAAGCGUGGGGAGCGAACAGG
rnacentral:rRNA from 1 species